ACACAUGCGGCAAAUUAAUGCACUUCACUUCCUGUUGACCUUUGACCAUCAACUUCCUGCUGCCACCCCAAAGAAAGCAGGACAGAAACCCAGACGAGGCGGGACGAGGCACGAAGCCCCGCCUCCUCCUCCUCUCAGCUCCUCCACUCGCUCACUGGAGAAGUUAGUGACCAGUCGUGUGCCACGUCAAGCCUGCGCGUCCACGCAUCGAGGCGCUUCACACACGCCGGCUGGAUGAGGGAGUGUGUUCGGGGGCAAGCUACAGCCGACACGUUCAAAGUCUGAGAAAUAUUGGGAAAAGUGACACUCAGGAGGACCAGACCUGGAGGAUGAGACUCCAUCAUCAUGAUCAGCGAGACACGAGACGCCCGUCACGCCUGCCCAGUGUUCAGACUACCUGUUCAGGUAGUAGUGUUUGUACAGUAGUCUGCACAUUGGUUAGGCUGGACGGGGAAGCUCAAGACGGAUGAAGAAUCAUCAUCGUCAUCAUCGUCGUGGUUCAGUAGAAAUAAUGAUCUGUUCAUGUCAAUGAUGUAAUCAAGGAAUAAAGUCUACGUGUGCAAAGUGUGAA